UGAGUCCUGGAUGACUGGCAGGGUAAUCUGAGUGACAGGCAUAUAUUUUCUUCCCAAACAGCCUCCCUCUCUUUCCUGGCUUGUUCUCCUGGAAUGGACCUCACAGUGAAUAACCUGUGGCUCCUUCAUCCCUCACGUGCAUCGCCUCUGUUCUCAGAUGUGCCCAGGCUAAAUUGGAACCUUAUGGACAUCGAACCUAGAAACAUAUGCUGAUGUGAUUUAUAGGUAUCUUCUUGUCUCCAUAGAAGCAGAGCUCAUCUGGCUGGAACAUUCUGGGCAUUUGUUUCAUCAAGCCCUUUGGGCAUGCAUGAAGGUAUCAAAAUGCUGCUUCCUGGGAUCGUAUGCCAGGCAAUGUGCACUGGUAGUGCUACUCUUGUUCACACCUGCCUCUUCCGGCCUCUCGUCUCACCAGCUUGGCAUGACCCCUCUUCUGUUCUCAUCCACUCGCUCCUUGUCUUCAACGUUUGGCUUGAAUGUCACUUCUCCAUGAAGACUUUGCUUCCUGGUAUCACCACCUAUGCCCAGAUACCCAGCUCUUCUUUGUGGCUUUGGAGAGGCUGGCACUUGCCUUACCCGGCACGAGAAAGGGGUAGAGUUGCACCACCCACUGUGGCCACCAUCGGCCUCGGGGGGGGGGGGCACUGAGCACUUCAAAGAUGAUGCAUCCAAACUGAGAUGUUCUGUCAAUAUUAAACAUGCCCUGGGCUUUGAAGAUGAAAAAAAUUGUAAAAUAUCUCAUGAAUGGUGGUUUUUAGACUUAGUCCAUGUUGAUAGGAUAGUAUUUCUGAAUGGAUUAGGUUAAAUAAAAUACAUAAUUAAAAUUAGUUUCAUCUGUGUCUUCUCAUCUCUUUCCAAAUGUGGCUACUAGAAAAUUUAAAAUUACACUCGUGGCUCACAUUUUAUAUGUACAAAACAGUACUGGAAUAGAGCAUUAGCACCUGAAGCCUGGGCCCUGGCU